rnacentral:rRNA from 1 species
AUUGAACGCUAGCGGGAUGCCUUACACAUGCAAGUCGAACGGAGUGGCGAACGGGUGAGUAAUGUAUCGGAACGUGCCCAGUAGCGGGGGAUAACUACGCGAAAGCGUAGCUAAUACCGCAUACUAUUGGAGCGGCCGAUAUCGGAUUAGCUAGUUGGUGGGGUAAUGACACACCAGGGCGACGAUCCGUAGCGGGUUUGAGAGGACGACCAGCCAACCAGGGACGGAGACACGGCCCAGACUCCUACGGGAGGGAGGAGUGGGGAAUUUUGGACAAUGGGGGAAAGCCUGAUCAAGCCAUCCCGCGUGGGAGAUGAAGGCCUUCGGGUUGUAAAGCACUUUUGGCAGGAAAGCGGUACCUGCAGAAUAAGCACCGGCUAAGUACGUUCCAGCCGCCGCUGUAAUUC